rnacentral:rRNA from 1 species
UCGGAACGUGUCCUGGAGUGGGGGAUAACUAGUCGAAAGACUAGCUAGUACCGCAUACGAUCUACGGAUGAAAGUGGGGGAUCGCAAGACCUCAUGCUCGUGGAGCGGCCGAUAUCUGAUUAGCUAGUUGGUGGGGUAAAGGCCUACCAAGGCAUCGAUCAGUAGCUGGUCUGAGAGGACGACCAGCCACACUGGGACUGAGACACGGCCCAG